UACGGAGGGGACUAGCGUUGUUCGGAAUUACUGGGCGUAAAGCGCACGUAGGCGGUUUUGUAAGUCAGGGGUGAAAUCCCGGGGCUCAACCUCGGAACUGCCUUCGAUACUGCGGGUCUCGAGUCCGGGAGAGGUGAGUGGAAUUCCUAGUGUAGAGGUGAAAUUCGUAGAUAUUAGGAAGAACACCAGUGGCGAAGGCGGCGACCUGGGCCAAUAUUGACGCUGAGGUGCGAAAGCGUGGGGAGCAAACAGG
rnacentral:rRNA from 1 species